rnacentral:rRNA from 1 species
GACGAACGCUGGCGGCGUGCUUAACACAUGCAAGUCGAACGGUGAACCUCUUCGGAGGGGAUCAGUGGCGAACGGGUGAGUAACACGUGGGCAACCUGCCCCCGGCUCUGGGAUAACUCCAAGAAAUUGGGGCUAAUACCGGAUGUUCACCGCUUCCCGCAUGGGUGGUGGUGGAAAGGGUUUCCGGCUGGGGAUGGGCCCGCGGCCUAUCAGCUUGUUGGUGGGGUAGUGGCCUACCAAGGCGACGACGGGUAGCCGGCCUGAGAGGGUGACCGGCCACACUGGGACUGAGACACGGCCCAGACUCCUACGGGAGGCAGCAGUGGGGAAUAUUGCGCAAUGGGCGGAAGCCUGACGCAGCGACGCCGCGUGGGGGAUGACGGCCUUCGGGUGGUAAACCUCUUUCAGCAGGGACGAAGCGCAAGUGACGGUACCUGCAGAAGAAGCACCGGCCAACUACGG